rnacentral:rRNA from 1 species
CCUACGGGGGGCUGCAGUGGGGAAUAUUGCACAAUGGGGGGAACCCUGAUGCAGCGACGCCGCGUGAGUGAAGAAGUAUUUCGGUAUGUAAAGCUCUGUCAGCAGGGAAGAAGAAAGCCGGUACCUGCCCAAGAAGCCCCGGCUAACUACGGGCCAGCAGCCGCGGUAAUACGUAGGUGGCAAGCGUGAUCCGGUUUUACUGGGGGUAAAGGGAGCGUAGACGGGAGCGCAACUCUUGAGUGAAAUGCCGGGGCCCAACCCCGGAACUGCUCUGGAAACUGUGUAGCUGGAGUGCAGGAGAGGUAAGCGGAAUGCCUGGUGUAGCGGUGAAAUGCGUAGAUAUCAGGAGGAACACCGGCGGCGAAGGCGGCUUACUGGACUGUAACUGACGUUGAGGCUCGAAGGCGUGGGGAGCAAACAGGAUUAGAUACCCGAGUAGUC